ensembl:lncRNA
CUGAGAGGAACCCACACAGAUUAUGUAAUAUACUUUGUGAUCAAUUAUAAACUUACAGCAUUUCUGAAAUGUUUUUUUUUCUUUAUCUUGAAUCAAGGAUCUGAAUCUGAUUGGAACACCGAGCUUUCCCAACAGCCAUGGUCAUCAUUGCACACCUGCAGUUGAAAUGCUGUUAUAACACACGUUUUACUAAUGUUCUUGCAGCUAUAUAUAUAGUGUUAUUUCUAGACAAACUGUGUAGAGUUUAUGGUUUACAGACUUGGUUGCACUGGUUCUGUUGUUUUGGGGUUUUUCUUCAAAGCUCUCACAAUGAUUCUGCUGUUGUUUUCAUUGACUGAACUGUUUCAUGUCUGGUUGUUACUACGCUUGUGAUUUCUUUCUUUUUCAGGACAUUCCAAAUUGUCGUAUUGACUUUUUUCCCUAUUUUUAGGAACUAAGUUUUACGAUGAGGUAUUGAUGUUUGUGGACUAAACUUCUGUUACAGUAGUGGCACAAAUAUCAUUUUGUUCAGCCAAGAGUCGUGUGCAACUAGCAGUUUGGUGACCCGUAGGAUUAAGUGAAGUGAAGCUAAGCUAGGCUAUCUGCGUUUGUUGUUUUUUCACUAGCUUGAAAAGGACUAAGUAUAAACUGUAACUCGUGGGCGUUUAAGCUAAUGUCGUCGUGAGAGACGGACAGCUGUAACCGCCAGCCGCAGUUUUCACCGUGGAACUGAAGGGACGAGGACUGUGGAGAACUGUGCUGAGUAGCACGGUCACUACGCCUGUGUAAGGAGGGACUCUACCGCCGAACCUGCAUCUCUGAAUCGACUCUUACCUGCUGGACCCUCGCCUGCAGCGGAUUCAUUCACUCACUCAGCUCGUUGUUUCCAGUUCAGCUGAUUUUCCUCUUCGAUAUGUGACACAGAUGUUCAAGACAUUUCUAAAAAAUAUUUGGCCCAAGAAAUUGAACUGAGGAAAGCAGACCAGACUGAAAAUGAGAAAACUGGAGAUGGAAAUUAAGCAAAUGGAGAAAGAAAGAAGUAAGUAGUUGAAUAAAGCAUUAAAUGUUUAAUAUUCUCCUUUGCUCAAGUUUUAAUUAAGGAUUUUUUCUUUUCCACAGGCUGAAUAAGAUGACCCGGAAAAAAUGUGUUUAACCGUACACUAAAAUUAAAUUGUCCAGAGUCACAUGGCCCUCCCUACUCCACCUUCAAUUAAGCUCUUAUUGUAUCUUCUCACUGGUCUACCUACAAUCUUAGCAUACCUUCCUGAUGUAGUACAUUCACAUUGUGCAAAACUCCCUCCACAAGCCACUACAAUAUCAAGUCCAUUGUGGAAUGAUUCAGAGAUGGUUUAGACAUAAAUCUGGACUUUAGCUGUCCAAACGUAAUUGACAUACACUUUUGAAGUAGUAGAAAAGGACUUUAUAAGGAAUUCGAAUAAUACAUAGUUGGGCUGCAACAGUAACUACAGUACAUCAUUUACUGCUCUAAAUAUCAGUAUCUGAAUGGGAUUCUGGCACCUUCAGUAACUUGGAGAGGGUAAAAAUUUGUGUUUUCUGCUUGUACUGAGGUGUUAUAGAAACACCAAUAGUGUUUCAUUGAUUCAUGGACGUAUCAGAUUUGUGUAUAUUUGGGGCAAUGGUGGCAAAAUCUUGUUCCAGCUUGGAUAAACUCUGCAAGACCUCAGGAUUCAGUGGAGCUGUGUUUCAUUUCUGGUAUGUUUCUACGAACAGCUUUCCAGCUUCACCUUCUCGUCUCCUGUUAAACAAUAUUAUUUGCGCUAGAACACUUUCUGAAAGAUUUCUCCAUGCCACAGGAUCUGAGCUCUUGGUUAAUUGUUCUUUUGACUGAUCUUCCAAAAUUUUGAGGUGUUUGUGCAACCUGACAUCAUCUUCAGUCGGUGGAAGAACAUCAGCUUUGUUCCAUUUGUUUUGUUCAAGGUUGGUACUAGCUCGUUUUGAAACAAAUGUGUUCCAGUCAGAGUGAAGCAACCUGAUGAAAUUCUUGGCCUUCUGUCCUGCCUCACGGUCUUCCUUGAUCAGACUCUCGCCUAUCACAAUUUCACAGACUUUCUUGAGGGUGUCCCCAAUUUUACAAGCUAAAGAUGGGGUGUCUCAUCUGUUUUUUAUGGAUCAAACCCACUUGCUUCCAUUGCUGCCGAUACUGCUAGCUGAAAUCUUGUUGGCACACAAAACAUCCACUAGACGUUGUACAGCAGGGUUAAGCUUCUUUACUGCCAGCAUAAACCUCCCCAACUCCCGCAUUUUCUGACUGAUGUAAUUGUGCUGCGAUUUGUCCUGUCCAUGGAGCUCAAACAUCAUUUCUUCAUAUUUAUAGAUGAGAGUGUCUGACUUCACCUGAUUAGAGAGGUCAUCUUGAUGCAUGCUCAGAAUGAUGCAUUUACACCCUUCAGACACGGCAGGUUUACAUGGUGUACUUCGAGGUGCUACAGCUUGGACUCUCUUCGGUUUCCUUGAAAUGUUGUCUUUUUCAAAAAUGCAGAAAAGACUAGGUUAUGCUUUUCACAAUUCCUUUCUUUUAAAAAACCCAUCGCAAUACUAUCAUAGCAGAUAGUCUUGAUUUCGGUACUAUAGUGGAAAUUCCCUUUAUUUCGUAGUUGUCCAAGUAAUCUGUCAUGCCUUUGUCCCCUUAGUUUUUGAUAAUGCUUGUUCUACUUCAGUUUCUUUUGCAUAUUUUCUCUCGAGAUGUCUUCCCAGUUUGCUUUUCUCUGUACCACAGUAUACAAAAAAGUUUUUCUUAUCUCACUCUCUCUUCCCUCCUUCUUUUUUUGUGCACUUUUUAACAUUCACUUUUACAUUGUCUGACCUACCAUCUUCAUUUAUGGACUUUUGGGCUUUUUCUUAGUCUUUUGCUUCACAAGUGCUGUCAGAGUCCAUAUAGAUGGCAUCAGAGUCAGAACUUCCACUGGAUGAAACAUAUUCACUACCACUUGUGUGUCCUGAUGACAGAUCAGUGCUCCCAAUUUCAACAAUUUCUUCAAUCCUUAAUUCCUGUAAAAUCAAAAGUUUGAAUAUAAUAAACAUAAUUACAAAUACAGAAUUAUGUU